CAACUGUCAAAUUUUUUUAACCAAAACUCCGUCGUUUUUUUUAAAACUCCCGAUAGCUGUUCUUUUUCCCCUUAACAAAAUUUCCCUCAUUCCAUCUCUUCUCCUUUAAUCCCUAAAUUUUCAUCCCCAAGUUCCCAACCCAUUUGCCACCGAAGACGCCGACCGGACCACCUGCUGCAUCGCCCUCGACUAACCUCUCUGCUGCGUCGCCGUCGCCUGCUCAUCCUGCUCAGAAAUGAGAUUAUAUUUUUCACAACGGUAAAUUAAAUGGGAAGCGCCAUGUACGACCUUACUACUUUGAGUUCGUCUCUCAUGUUAAUAAACGAUGGGAAGGUAAAACAAUAGUGGAUUUGUUCGCUCAAGAGUUCAAAGGUCGAUCUAGAGAUUACUAUAUUAUUUUUCUAGAAACAAUAUGCAACGAUGAAAAGAUUAUUGAAAGAAAUAUUCGCCUUAAAAUUCAACAAAGUCCUGACUAUGCAGAAGAUUUUGCGGGCCAGAUUUCGAAGCUGGAUUACAAGACUUUACAACCCGGUUAGCUAAUUACGAAAAGGUUUAUGAACCAGUUGAUGAAGGGUCUUACAUCAAAAUGAUUGAUAUGGCUAGUGGGCAUGGUGGACAAAUACAAGUUAACAACAUCAGUGGCUAUCUUCCUGGACGAAUCGUCUUCUUCUUGUGAUACCGGAGAAAUUUAUAUGAAGAAACUCGCAAACUUUGUUGAGAAGCGACUGAAAUCUGAAAGGACUGCUUCUCACCCUAUAGAGAACAAUUCUGACAGCAAGUCCAAUUGAUGGAUUUCCAAAGGUUAGUGGGAAACCACAAGAAAGUAACUUAUACAUCCUUUCUUUCACAUUCUAGCCCAUUCUGGCUGCUGAAUGAAGUAUAUAUUGAUAUGUUAACAGAGGAAAAACCAACUACACUAGAUUGCGGUCCAAGAACAAUUUGCAAGAGGCACAUAAUGACUAGCUCCAACCUCUACGAAUGCUUGUGGGAGGCAUUGCAGCAGCGAAUAAGGAUGAUAACAUGCAGUUGACACCGUAUGUGCUAUGAAUCCGAAUUCAGGUGUGACUUUUAGAUAUUUUAUGUGCAAAAAAAAUAUUAGAGUGUCUUAUAUUUAUAUGUUAGUUAAGCAGAUUAUAGAUAGAACCUGCAGUAGGAUCAACUAAUUAGUUGAUCAAAAGCUACACCCUAUUUUGUAAUCGUCUACUUGCAUAUUUGCAUAUACUUAAUAAUAAUCUCAUGUCAACUAAUUAUUCUAA